CCUACGGGAGGCAGCAGUGGGGAAUAUUGCACAAUGGGGGAAACCCUGAUGCAGCGACGCCGCGUGAGUGAAGAAGUAAUUCGUUAUGUAAAGCUCUAUCAGUAGGGAAGAAAAUGACGGUACCUGAGUAAGAAGCCCCGGCUAACUACGUGCCAGCAGCCGCGGUAAUACGUAGGGGGCAAGCGUUAUCCGGAGUUACUGGGUGUAACGGGAGCGUAGACGGCAGUGCAAGUCUGGAGGGAAAGGCGGGGGCUCAACCCCCGGAGUGCUCUGGAAACUGUACGGCUGGAGUGCAGGAGAGGUAGGUGGAAUUCCUAGUGUAGCGGUGAAAUGCGUAGAUAUUAGGAGGAACACCAGUGGCGAAGGCGGCUUACUGGACUGUAACUGACGUUGAGGCUCGAAAGCGUGGGGAGCAAACAGGAUUAGAUACCCGUGUAGUC
rnacentral:rRNA from 1 species